rnacentral:rRNA from 1 species
ACUCCUACGGGAGGCAGCAGUAGGGAAUCUUCCACAAUGGGCGCAAGCCUGAUGGAGCAACACCGCGUGAGUGAAGAAGGGUUUCGGCUCGUAAAGCUCUGUUGUUAAAGAAGAACACGUAUGAGAGUAACUGUUCAUACGUUGACGGUAUUUAACCAGAAAGUCACGGCUAACUACGUGCCAGCAGCCGCGGUAAUACGUAGGUGGCAAGCGUUAUCCGGAUUUAUUGGGCGUAAAGAGAGUGCAGGCGGUUUUCUAAGUCUGAUGUGAAAGCCUUCGGCUUAACCGGAGAAGUGCAUCGGAAACUGGAUAACUUGAGUGCAGAAGAGGGUAGUGGAACUCCAUGUGUAGCGGUGGAAUGCGUAGAUAUAUGGAAGAACACCAGUGGCGAAGGCGGCUACUGGUCUGCAACUGACGCUGAGACUCGAAAGCAUGGGUAGCGAACAGGAUUAGAUACCCUGGUAGGAUAGC